rnacentral:rRNA from 1 species
AGGGUUUGAUCAUGGCUCAGAACGUACGCUGGCGGCACGCCUAACACAUGCAAGUCGAACGAAGUAGCAAUACUUAGUGGCAGACGGGUGAGUAACAUGUGGGUAUCUGCCCUUUGGCCUGGAAUAACACGAGGAAACUUGUGCUAAUACCGGAUAAGUCUUUACAGAGAAAGCUUUAUGCACCAUUGGAUGAGCCCGCACUUGAUUAGUUUGUUGGUGGGGUAAUGGCCUACCAAGACUGUGAUCAAUAGCUGAUUUGAGAGGAUGAUCAGCCACAUUGGGACUGAGACACGGCCCAAACUCCUACGGGAGGCAGCAGUGGGGAAUCUUGCACAAUGGAGGAAACUCUGAUGCAGCGAUGCCGCGUGAGUGAAGAAGGCCUUUGGGUUGUAAAGCUCUUUCGUCGGGGAAGAAAAUGACUGUACCCGAAUAAGAAGGUCCGGCUAACUUCGUGCCAGCAGCCGCGGUAAUACGAAGGGACCUAGCGUAGUUCGGAAUUACUGGGCUUAAAGAGUUCGUAGGUGGUUGAAAAAGUUGGUGGUGAAAUCCCAGAGCUUAACUCUGGAACUGCCAUCAAAACUUUUCAGCUAGAGUAUGAUAGAGGAAAGCAGAAUUUCUAGUGUAGAGGUGAAAUUCGUAGAUAUUAGAAAGAAUACCAAUUGCGAAGGCAGCUUUCUGGAUCAUUACUGACACUGAGGAACGAAAGCAUGGGUAGCGAAGAGGAUUAGAUACCCUCGUAGUCCAUGCCGUAAACGAUGUGUGUUAGACGUUGGAAAUUUAUUUUCAGUGUCGCAGCGAAAGCGAUAAACACACCGCCUGGGGAGUACGACCGCAAGGUUAAAACUCAAAUGAAUUGACGGGGACCCGCACAAGUAGUGGAGCAUGUGGUUUAAUUCGAAGAUACGCGCAGAACCUUACCAACACUUGACAUGUUCGUCGCGACUUUAAGAGAUUAAAGUUUUCGGUUCGGCCGGACGAAACACAGGUGCUGCAUGGCUGUCGUCAGCUCGUGUCGUGAGAUGUUGGGUUAAGUCCCGCAACGAGCGCAACCCUCACUUUUAGUUGCCAUCAUUUAGUUGGGCACUCUGAAAGAACUGCCAGUGAUAAGCUGGAGGAAGGUGGGGAUGACGUCAAGUCCUCAUGGCCCUUACGUGUUGGGCUACACACGUGCUACAAUGGUAUCUACAACAGGAAGCAAAACGGCGACGUUAAGCAAAUCCUUAAAAGAUACCUCAGUUCGGAUUGCACUCUGCAACUCGAGUGCAUGAAGCUGGAAUUACUAGUAAUCGUGGAUCAGCGUGCCACGGUGAAUGCGUUCCCGGGUCUUGUACACACCGCCCGUCACACCAUGGGAGUUGGUUCUACCUUAAGGCAAGGUUUAAAACCCUUGACCACGGUAUAGUCAGCGACUGGGGU